GUUUCUUGUUGACUGAGACAUGAGUGUUGAGGAAAAAGACACAAAACAUGUGUAGUCAAUGAUAAUAGAUUUUUAUGAAUGUGACUAUCAUUUGUAGGACAGUGAUGUGAUAAUCACAAUAUAUUUCUUGGAGUUAUGUGUACAUAUAUGUUAGACAGAUGGAAAAAUAGUCAUACUGAGAAGACUGACUGGGGAAUAUGGACUGCUAUGUUUUUCUUUCCAAGGGGAUGAAAUUUUACGAAGUGUAUACCUGGGUAGCCUUUUUCUCUGCAGAUAAAUUAGAACAGGCACAGUAACAGGCAAUACAAUAGGCACAGGGAAAUUUAGAGCAGAAGUUAAAGCAUGUCCAUGCAGAGAGUCUUUAGAUUAUUUUCUUCCUUGGGGGAAAAUGAGUGUCUACCAUUCUGGAGUCUUCUUGCAAAUUAAAUUUCAAACUACGUAACACUGGAGAUUAAAUCUCCCCACUGGUGAGGCAGUAAAAGAGCAAUGGGCAAAACUCUGUCACAGGUAAAAGUGUUUUAGCUGAAUAAUGUGUUGAGGGGGAUAAUGAAGCCAUUUUUGGUAAUUCCUGGUAAUGCUAUAGACUAGUGGCUCUAUGCUGUUUUAAAAUUUUUUAUUUCAGGGGUUGAACUCAGGGCCUUAUCAUACUAAACAUAUGUUCUACCACUGAGCUUCACCUCCAGCCCUGGAUUUGUGCUUUCUAAACUGAGCAAGAAGGAGUGCUCAUGAGUAUGCAUUUGGUGAAAAGUGAAGACAAAAGAUGUUGGGAUUUUAUGCAACAGAUGCAAGUCCAUAGGAACAACAAAAGAAGUGAAAACUAAUAAGAAGCCAAAUCAUUCUGAUGUGCUUUCAUUUUCUAGAGAUGCUUCCUUACUGAUAUGACAAUGUGCCAAGUUCAAAGUUCAAUUCAACUCAGUAUGUGGGCUGCCAAAUUAUUGUCUUAACCAACUGGGUUACAACCAUAACAUCUCUGUGCUUUAAAGUCCAUCAGAUUGUAGGAAAUUUGGAAUAUUCAAUCGUUGUGUGCAGAGUCUGGCAUGCUUUUGGCAAAAAGCACUGAGCUACACAGCCAAGAUUAAGCAGAGAAUGUAGGAAUUAUCUGGUAAAUUAUUCUGUGCCAACAACCAAAUAGGUUUAUUCUGAACCCACGUUGAUGUCUUUUUGCUUAUGCGGUGAAUCUGUAUUGGCUGUCUAUGGAAGAGUAAAGUUAAUUAGAGAUUUGGGCUUUAAGGACUAUCAUUAGCAGAGUAAAAUGGAGCUAUAUCUAGAGAAAUAAUGUAGUCCCUUCUUUUUCAGCUGGGAUUAAAAAGAAAGAGUGAAGACUAAUAUAUAUGUGACUUAUCUUUGUCAUGGAAUGGUUAACUACUGAGAGAAAAGGAACAUUUUAUGAACAAAGGAAAAUAAAAUAUAGGGAAAUGAGAAGAAAAGAAGGAAAGGGGGAAGGCAGAAGCAGC
ensembl:lncRNA